AUAGUUUAAGAACAAUGAGCAUGGUCACCAGGACAGCUUCUUAUAAUCCAAAGAAAGGCUUGAAGAUACUUUGCUGCUCUGAGACCCGGCCUUGGCACGAAGCUGCACUGUUCAGAAGAAGCAAGAUUCCUUCCUCACAGCUACGGCGCUGCGACACAGCCUGCUUUUUCGCAUUUACCUGGGUGGCUGCUGCUGGUUCUGCUGCUGCCGCUGCAGCCUCGCUGCCUGCGCUUCACCCCAGCUUGGCUGAUGCGAGUCUCCCUCAUCUGUACAUCGCUAAGGAAGAGAAGCGAUGGAGCCGCAAUUUUUCUGUUGGUUCUGGAAGCAAAGGGUUGUGAUGUGGGGUGGCUUGGGGGGGUUUUCUUUUUUUAUGUUUUUUUGGUGGGGAAAGAAAGGAGGGAUAUUAAUAUAGGGUGGAGUGGGUAAAAGCUUAAAGAAAUAUGAUGAAAAGUAAUCCAGUCCUCAACAAGGGCAUCAGCAGCAAGAAUCCAGCCACUGCUGCUCCAAAGGAGGAUGGGGAAAGCCACAGAGCUGCAGUCGAGUUGCACCUCAGCGUUGUGCUGGAGAUGGAUAAACAAGGUAUUGGUUGUAUCUGCCUGCUAAGGCAAAGCCAUGGGAGGAAGAGAGAGCGAGAGAGUGUGUGCAAAUGCAGUGGAAGAAGAAACGCUGCAUGCUGUUUGUCUGAUUCUGUGCAUUCUCACUGUGGAGAGGAUGGCGUGAUUAAGAAAGAAAUGUAUGGAUGGAGGCACUGUGAAUUGUAGCUCCAGCACUCCUGAUGCUGUCAGGGAGGGAACUGAUGAGCUAGGUGGCUGCAGCAGUAUCCCCAGGGAAAACAGCGGCCAUGCUGUGUAUGUAUGUGCUUAUGUAUGUGUGCUUAUGUGUGUGGGAGCAUGUACAGGCAUGAAAGAAAGGCAUUUCUGACCAAUUUACUGAGGAAGCUUGUCACUUUGAUGGUCAGACUUGAUUGCAGCUUGUAUUUUCAGCUCUAGUUCUACACCCAAUUCCUGAGUGAGGCGGCACUUUGUGAAUGCAGAUGUAGGCAGAAUUCUUCUAAGAAAUGUGAAAGCAGAUUCUGUUUAACACCUUGGAGCACUGAAUCUAUUGCACUGUGUUGAGAGAAGCUAAGGAGGGAGGGGUCAUUUUCUCCAUCUUAAAAUCUUUAUAAACACGGCUAUAUUCAGUAUGGCAAAAAAAAAUUCUAUGCAAAAAAAAAUUCUAUGCUGUAAAUAGAAAUGUGAUCAAUCUAAUCAAAACAAAUGCAUCCCAGAUGACUUCUAGACCAGCUGGCUACCACAGUCAUCGGAUGGCUAAAUGCUCAACUGAGCAUUUAUAGUCAGCAUUAUAUCUCUUUUUUUUUCUUUUUUCUUUCUUUUUUUUUUUUUUUUUUUUUGAUUAAGAAUUUUAUAAUCAGCUUCUGAUUAAAAAUGAUUAUUCCUCUAUUGAAAAGAGACAGCAGUUAGCAACAGAUUUUUCUGAAAUGCACCUAUUUUUUUUUGUUUGUUUUUUUGUUAUUGUCAUUUGAUUGGCUUGGGCUCUUUUUGUUUAUCUGUUUGGUUUAUAUUUCUGCGCAUGCAUUGAGGAGACUGUGCUUUUAGAACAGGGACACUUGUCACAGUGCUUGGCAUACUGAGUUCAGCUGGUAGCUCGGGUUGCCCAUGUCUGAACAAUGCAAAAAUAGGGAAAACAAGUACUGCAGUCAGCUAGUAGGACUUGGCGUGGCUUUUAGCAGCUGCCUACUGAGAAAGAGGUUUCUUUUUUCCUUUUAUUUUUUUCCCUUUUAUACAAAUCCGUAGACCAUAAUGUCAUCCUAAAAUGCGUACGAGGGGAUUUCCCAAUAGUCAUGGUGAGCUACCCUGCAAGAUGCCUGUCUGGCCCUUCCACUGUUUGUUACCCUGUCUACAAAGGCUGCCCUGUGUGUUGGAUUAUAUUUAGCCAGCUGCUGGGUAACAUUCUUGUGCUGGGGGCAAAGGAGUCUUAUUACUCCCAUACUGUAGUUUUGUGCUUUCUUAAAGAAAAACAACCUUGGCAAGACAGCAGGCUCUGAAAAGAAGUGUAUACUGCUCCUGCACCUUUCUGAAACUGCCGUGCUUCUAACUCAGACUGUUUUAAAGCAAGCGAGCAGGAGGAAGAGUGGCUUUUAGCUCAUAGCUUCAAAGCUGCAAAAUGUCAGCACCUUGUAAUUAGGAACCCGUGGUUACGUCAGGGACUGUAUCUCUCCAAGAAUAGCUGUGUGAUAUGUGCCACAAAGCAAAGGAAGGCAGUCAUAACCUGGUUCUCGAGCCUGCUUUGAACAAGAGAGUGAAAUGGAUUAAUGAAUCGGCUGCAUUUGUAAAUCAGAGCUGGAUGGAUUACAUGUAUAAGACUGGCUGCACUCUGCAAAAGUGAAGACUGAAUUAUCGGUUUGUCAGAGGGCACAUGUUCGCUGAGUGGAAGUGUGAAUCCUUCGGAAGAAAUGCAGACAAGCCAUCUGUCCUAGAAAAUGUCAUUCCUGUCUCCAUCUUGCAAAGGAGGCUGUGUGCCACGAGGCAUGGGAAGGAGUGACCGGCCAGCCGCACCAAGGUGUUUAAAAGCACGCGUCAAAUUAAGCACAAAGCCAGCACACCAAAACUCGGCUCUGGCUUUGCAGAUUUGAUGUUGAAAUACCACCCCAGUGCAGACCUACUGCGAUCAGGUGUGGUUUUUAUUAAGGCUUCUCUGGCUGAGGAAUGGUGCAAAAAAAGCCUUAGCACAACAUCUUGCAGCCAAACGUGGUCCUGGGGGUGCACAGGGAAUGCUGCAGUGCGGGGCUGCCUAUUCCGCAGGGAUAUGCCUGGAGCUUUCUGACCCCUGCUGUUGUUUUUCGGUCUGGGCUGGCGGCUCCACAGCACUUAAGCGCUGAGAUUGCAGGGGUGCUUACCCUGCUUUGACCAGCCUUUCCCUGUGCUGUGACUGGAGAUGUUUACAUGGCUUUUAUCGACAGCCCUUCACCAGUCAGUGUGCAUUGCUGCCUGUUUCUGGCAGCCUGGCAUGGUUCCCUGGUCCCAGCACAAGUCAGCUGCAGUCCUGCUCUUUGUGCUGUUCUUUAGAUUACCAGGAUAGGUAGAUUGUAUUAUGGAAACACUGGUUGUGGGUUCUGUUUGUUGGGUUUUUUUUGUUUUUCUUUUUUUUUUUUUUUUACCCUGACCGUGAACACAAAUUUGUAGGAGGAGAUGACUCUGUAUAUUAAACCAAUAGCUCUUUGAAUUGUGUGUAGUAUAAUUUAAAUAUACUUACUUUAAUUAGUAGGAGCUUACAAAAGCCGGCAUUGUCUGGGGCUGUUUAAUUUACAUCGUGGCCUCUGUCAAUGAGCACAACUUGCCUGAACAGAUUGCCAUAUUCUGCGCAGCCGGCAGGGUGGAAGGCGUUACUUUGUUUGUGUUCCUUCCAACAGCUGGUCAUUAAUGCAGGCCCCAUCUCCAGAGUGAAGUGCUGGUGGACAUGAAUGGCCGCCUGAUUAAUGCUGCCCCUCGACGGCUCCUUCCUCCUGCAGUGAUGCUCGCAGCAGAAUAAUGCAGCGUGAUUUGAUUGCGCUCUAACAGGGCAGUAUGUCAUUGUGUCACCAAGCAAUUGAGGUUAUUAUGGGGCAGGGCAGACAGACGGGACAGUGGGGUUACUAGACCGUGGCAUUUUUAGAAAUGCAGGCCUGACCUACUUAGAGUUAUUCUUGCUGGCUGGCAGCUGCAUGGUGCAUGGCUUGUCCUGAUAGGCUGAGGCUGUUGCUAGGGGGAAUUAGCAUGAAUUUUUCCACAUACAGACUCUGUGAUUGAAUGAUAAAAGCUGACUGGAAUUAAAGAGAUUCGGUUCAGUAUUAUGCAGAUUUAUCUCCCUUGUUUUUUCCUCUCUCAAAUACAUAAAAAGGAGAAGACGACUGUUUCCAUUCAUUUUUGACCUAUAUAUAUAUAUAUAUUUUUUUUUUUAAUUUUAUUUUAUUUUUUCCAGAGGAGGGCAGAAGCACUGUGAAUUUUUGAUCAUUUACUAUUUAAGUCGUUGAAAUGAUAUGACAGUGGCCAUGCAUCUUUAAUGUAUAGGAGAUUCAAAUUCCUUCUCUGCAGAAGGCAAUGAAAUGAAUAUAGUUUAUACUCUGGUCAGACCAUCUUUUUUUUUUUUUUUUUUUUUUUUUUUUCUCUGUUUGAAGCUAUGUCAGAUUCUUUCAUCUGGAAAGGGGAAACGUACACCAGGUUUUAUUGCAUAACAUCACUUGGCUAUUUUUAGCUAUCUGCACUUCACAAAAUUAGUCUUGUGUUUGUGCUGCUGGAUGAAAUGAAUCCCCAGACUGUGCCUCCUGUAUGCAGAGACAUGCACCCAGGAUGUGCUGUAGUGUGCCGUGUUCAUCUGAAAAGAUGAGCACACACACUGCAGACAUAGCAGCUCUGCCUGCUGGCAGAGAGCUGACGACUGGCCUUUAAGCUGAUUGAUUAGAUAACCUUUUGCGCAUUUUGAAGCAUUUUUCUGCCUUUGGUUUGAAGUUGGAUUCUCUUGAUAGCCCUUUUUUAUUUAUCUACAUCUGCUUAAAUCAGUCGUUUUUUUUUUUCAGAGAAUUCUGUGUUCCCUCUGGAAGCAAAUAAAAACAAUACUCAGUGAAGACUUCUUUGAUGU
ensembl:lncRNA